ACUCUGGCCUGUCAUUGGGGAGUAGCCGCCGCCCGGAUUAGAUCCGGCGGGCCCGCGUCAACACACUUGGUCCACAUGACCAUGGCGCGCGCAGUACCGAAGUUCCAACACCUGGCAAGACCUUUGACCACAUCGACCUGCAUCGCGGCUGGUCUCGGUGUGGUCAAUGGUUUUUCGUGUUGAGCAACAAG
rfam:Paucibacter sp. KCTC 42545, complete genome.